AGUAAUGCACUUGGCGUGAUUCGCACCUCUAACCUUCAAACGACGCUUGCAGGGUGUCCAGGAGCAUGAAUUAGAACGCAUUACUUAUCCGUGUUUUCGGGCAAUCGUGAGGUGAGGAAGGGUCGCGUGUAGUGCUUCUCUUGCCCGGGACGACGUAGCGAAUUGAGUGACAGGUACAUCGUCAGUUGAGCGAGGUAAGGGGAUUGCGCCUAGUUAGCCAUCCUACCAGUAUACUUACUUGUAGCGGACUCCUAGAUAGUGAGCUACCGUACUCUCUUUUGGACUGGCGCGGGCCAGGGCCAUUUGCUUGUACUUGAUUUUGGGCGUGGAGUUGUGUAUCUUGUUACUAAUUUCUUGUUGUUCGGUGGUUUAGCUUAUG